rnacentral:rRNA from 1 species
ACGCCUUAUACAUGCAAGUCGAACGAAGUAGCAAUACUUAGUGGCAGACGGGUGAGUAACAUGUGGGUAUCUUCCCUUUGGUGAGGAAUAACACGAGGAAACUUGUGCUAAUACCUCAUAAGUCUUUACGGAGAAAGCUUUAUGCGCCAAUGGAUGAGCCCGCACUUGAUUAGUUAGUUGGUGGGGUAAUGGCCUACCAAGACUUCGAUCAAUAGCUGAUUUGAGAGGAUGAUCAGCCACAUUGGGACUGAGACACGGCCCAAACUCCUACGGGAGGCAGCAGUAAGGAAUCUUGCACAAUGGAGGAAACUCUGAUGCAGCGAUGCCGCGUGAGUGAAGAAGGCCUUUGGGUUGUAAAGCUCUUUCGUCGGGGAAGAAAAUGACUGUACCCGAAUAAGAAGGUCCGGCUAACUUCGUGCCAGCAGCCGCGGUAAUACGAAGGGACCUAGCGUAGUUCGGAAUUACUGGGCUUAAAGAGUUCGUAGGUGGUUAAAAAAGUUGGUGGUGAAAUCCCAGAGCUUAACUCUGGAACUGCCAUCAAAACUUUUUAGCUAGAGUAUGAUAGAGGAAAGCAGAAUUUCUAGUGUAGAGGUGAAAUUCGUAGAUAUUAGAAAGAAUACCGAUUGCGAAGGCAGCUUUCUGGAUCAUUACUGACACUGAGGAACGAAAGCAUGGGUAGCGAAGAGGAUUAGAUACCCUCGUAGUCCAUGCUGUAAACGAUGUGUGUUAGACGUUGGAAAUUUAUUUUCAGUGUCGCAGCGAAAGCGAUAAACACACCGCCUGGGG